AUGACACGGUUUGGUUUCGACCCACAGUGGGUAUCCAUGAUAAUGAGGUGCGUUACCUCAGCUCGGUUCUCUGUUAAGUUAAAUGGCGGGCUCUCCAGAAGAUUUACACCAUCUCGGGGCUUAAGACAAGGAGAUCCACUGUCAUCAUAUUUGUUUCUAUUUUGUGUGGAGGGCUUUUCAGCUUUACUCAAGAAAGCUCAGACUGACAAACAGUUGUCGGGUGUGAAGUUUGGGGGCACUGGCCCCCAUGUAACACAUCUUCUAUUCGCUGACGAUAGCAUAGUGUUCCUGGAGGGCACCAAGGAGAACAUGCAGACCUUAAAACAUAUUCUUGAGAAGUAUGAAAAAGCGUCAGGACAAAAGGUUAACUUGCAGAAAUCCUCGAUCUUCUUUGGUAAAGGUAGCAAAGAUGGGAUGAAGGAAUAG
rnacentral:rRNA from 1 species